GUGGAUUUGUUAAUGGUCAAGCUUAAUUAUCCGGCUCUUUCUUGGAUAAACAAAUUACUCUCGAGGAUAAACAUCCACUUAUUUUUAUUUAAAUAUACUUUUGUGUCUAUAUCUGAAAUGGAGAAAUUUAUAAUUAGGAUGAAUGUUAUUUGUAUUGAUGAUUUAUACACGUAACAGUGAUCUGUAUUUUAGAUACGAUAAAACCUAACCAUAUGUAUUACUUUAGUAUGUAAUUUUGAGAUAAGAGAUCGUUGAAUAGAAGAACGAUAUUAAAAAGUAAAUUAAAUAGAUAAAAUAAAAACUAAAAAUGAUACAUAACAAGUCCACAAAGGCGUUUAGAUCGCGUGAAUAAACAUUUGGCGUCAGUAGCAAGGCCCGAAGUGACACGAUGCCCAGGAAUCCGAGACGAUAAAAACGACACGCAAACUUGGUAAGUUUAUUGACUAGACUACAGGAAUAAGAAAGACUGAGACACGACGCGAUGGAAAUAUAUUCCAUUUACCUAGACUUUAUAAAUUAUAGUUCUACCUAUGCUUCUUAAUGUCAAAUGAAAAGGUCGAAGACCCGAUAUUUAAUCCUUAAAUUUUAUUCAUGUUAUUUCCUGAUUAUAUUUACCAGACAUUUCCUAUUCCUAUCUUUAUCUUUGAAUUACGUAGAUUCAAUUUUCAUUUUCACUUAAUUAAGUAAAAUUAAUGCUGCUUGCUCAUUAGACGAUUAGAAUCUCGUUGAGUGAUGAGGCAUUUUUAAAGCAAUCGAUUAUCAACUUAAUUAAUGGGAUAUAUAAGUUUCUGCCUGGAAGUCCCGGUUUAUUUUUAUUCCCUCCAAAUUAUUUGUCCUCAUGUGGGGACACUUAUAAGUAUAUCUAUGGCCAUAGUUCAUUUCCUGGCUGACUUUUAUUUAGAAAUAUAUAAUAAUAAAUAGAAUAAAAUAUAAGGCCACAACUCGUGUUUAGUUCAAGUAUUAAAGCCACGCUGAAGCAUGUUUUUUUUUUUUUUUUUUUUUUUUUAGUACAGUUCCCCUAUUA